rnacentral:rRNA from 1 species
UACGUAGGGGGGCUAGCGUUGUCCGGAUUUAUUGGGCGUAAAGAGCGUGUAGGCGGCCAGGUAGGUCUGCUGUGAAAACUCGAGGCUUAACCUCGAGAUGUCGGCGGAAACCAUCUGGCUAGAGUCCGGAAGAGGAGAGUGGAAUUCCUGGUGUAGCGGUGAAAUGCGCAGAUAUCAGGAAGAACACCCGUGGCGAAGGCGGCUCUCUGGGACGGUACUGACGCUGAGACGCGAAAAGCGUGGGGAGCGAACAGG